GGCCACCCUCUGCAGGGCGAUCGAUCAGGGGGUUCCGUGAUUGAUUGCCUCACAGAGGGAGGCC
rfam:Myotis lucifugus cont2.38316, whole genome shotgun sequence.